CGUUCUUCUGGAUUCUUUCCGAUUCACUCGGUAAACUAGGUUUCAAAUCGACUGUGAGUUGGACCGGAAUGAUUUGGUUUUUGUUGUCCCUGGUGCCAAGAAUCGCUCGAGAAUCCCCCAAGUUCGAAAUGAUCAAGUGUUGGUCCUGAAAUAACAUUCAUUAUAAUCAUACACGCGCACACACACACACACAUAUAUAUAUAUUUAUGGUUGAUGGUAAACAAAUGAAUAUACCUGCUUAACAAUGGUUACGGCCGUGGUGCCACUGCAGUAACUAUCAAGGGAAUCUUCCAUGCUAAGAUCUUCAUCCAAUUCUUGGAAAGUUCUAAUCAAACUUGCCUCCCAAUGCUUGUGACUGCUGUCCUUGUCGCCCUCCUUCUUAGCGCUGGGCCGAGGCUGAUGCAUUGUCGAA
rnacentral:lncRNA from 1 species